CAGUCGCCACGGUAAUACGGAGGGAGCUAGCGUUGUUCGGAAUUACUGGGCGUAAAGCGCACGUAGGCGGUUAUUCAAGUCAGAGGUGAAAGCCCGGGGCUCAACCCCGGAACUGCCUUUGAAACUAGAUGACUAGAAUCUUGGAGAGGUCAGUGGAAUUCCGAGUGUAGAGGUGAAAUUCGUAGAUAUUCGGAAGAACACCAGUGGCGAAGGCGACUGACUGGACAAGUAUUGACGCUGAGGUGCGAAAGCGUGGGGAGCAAACAGGAUUAGAUACCCCGGUAGUCCCUGUCUCUUAUAC
rnacentral:rRNA from 1 species